UGGAAGGGAAUCUCAUUUGGAAAGGCCGAGGGGAGCGGCGCACAGGAAUAACGAUUUAACCUGGAGGCUGCUAAACGGACCUUGUCUGCAGCCAGGCGCACCCACAGAAAAGAAGCCCUCAAGCCCCGGAAUCAACCUGAACUCCCGAGUCCUCAGAUCCAGGGCCCGGCCCAAUCCCGCUCACUGGGUCAUUGCUGAAGGGCCCACUAGGGAGAACUCACAUCUCCAGCCCAGAGGACAAGGACCUUUGAAGACCAGUGAAGGAGGAGGUACAUCCUAAAAUCUAGCAAGUCUACAGCGGCCUGGUCCUGGUAGGAAAAUUUGGGAACCCGAAGGCCAGGAAACCAUGAGGUUCAGGAUUUGUGCCUAAUCUCGGGGACAGAACUGGUUUGCCGAUCUAGAGGCUUAUUGCCAUCCAGGAGCUAUUCUGGGCAAAGUUGGACUUUGAAACGCUGUGCCAUUCUCCAGAGAUAUUCACGAAAGUCACACGGAGGUCCGUGACUUGCCUGUGGACUGUAGCGGGCAGAAAGAGAAGGCCUGACAGGUCAUCCUACUUGGCUGGCAGAGACGUCGACGGCACGGCAACCAUAUAAAUGUGGGCUAAUGGGCUUUGGUCACGGCCUACCCACGUUCCGGUCCAGGCUGAACGUGUUCCUGCCGGCUCCCUGGAAGGUGGGCACUGAGGGCACUGACCAGUGAUACCCCUGCUCUCUCUGGCCUCCACAGAGGCAGUUGGCAGGACACAGACAGUCUGGGAGAUCCCAGACCCAUCACAGGACAGGAGGAAACACUGGAGUGGGCCAGGGCAGCAUCACAGGGUCUUUGAGAAAAUUCCUUGCUGUUCCUCCACAGGGGCUGCCGCGGGGAUAGCCGUGCCGAAUCCCAAAUCCUCCCGUGGAAGGGUGGGCCGAGUGCUCGGUAGCCUGCGUAGACUCAUCCUUAACAUUUGGAGCACUGACUAAAUACCAAGCGAUUUCUGAGAUACCACGGGACCGUCUUAGAGGAGGAAGAUGAGCCAGUGUGGAAUCCCACCGCCACCCCCAAGUCCCAUCGCAUCCCAGUGAUGACCAGAUCAGAGCCAGAGGGUCCUUAAUGACCAGGAGAACAUGAGAAACCUCAGUUUCCUCUAGGGAUCCACAGUAUACCAUGGUGAGCUGCAGUCAACCACAGCUAAUCACAAAGACACGGACAACCACAGUGAGCGACAGUGAACCCCGGUGAACCGCAAAGACAUGGACAACCCCAGUGAGCUGCAAUGAAGCACAGGAACAUGGUGAACCCCAGUGAGUUGCAGUGAACCCCAGUGAAGCACGGGAACGUGGCAAAAACCCCAUGAGUUACUGUGAACCGCAGUGAAGCAAUGGAACACAGCUAGCAUUGGUGAACUUCUGAGAACCCCAGCGAAUCAAUGAAUUAAUCAAGUUUAUUGAGCAUGUACUUUGUGCAGAGCAUAGCACUAAGUAGUCAGGAGAGUCCAAUACACCAGAGUUGGAAGACACAACCCCUGGCCAAAGUGAGCUGACCGCCUA